GGAUAAAUUUUUCUGCUUGUUUGAGAAAUAAUUUAUCUGACUCCUCUGCCUCUUCCUUUUCAGAUGCCCAAUCAAGUAUAGCUUUCUCUUGUAUAACAUCUUGGUCGUAUAGAUGAUGCAAAACCUGUAAAAUAUAUAAUCUAACUAAAUAUAUAAGAGGGAGUUUUCGAGUUACUGUUCAUACGCUGAAUGGCUAAAUAAAUCAAGCCAUGUUCGAGUCAGCCGUCAGCCGAGCCAUGUACAUGGGUGGCUAUAAAAUGAUCUUUCCCUUGGAUUGUCUAGAACGUUUGGUUCUAGAACAUUCACUGUGUCUGCUCUUUUUUCUUCUGUUUGUUUCUUCAUCACAAAAGUAUCUCUUUCUAGAUCUGCUUUUCUUUCUAAAAAUGUUGAAAAUUUCUUUAUGGGAUAAUUUGUUGCGGCCGAUUCUCUUCUUUGUCGUCUGACUUGGUUCUGCCAAUUCUCCGUCAAACCUGAUGUAGAAGCAACCGACGACUUCAAACUUGCUAAAGCCAACCGAAGUUAGUGGAAAGAUAUGUUUGAAGAAGUUUAGACUCGAACCGUCCAAUAUUUGCCGCAAAGGUUUGUAAAACUUCUACUUUAAAAGACAUGUUUUCGCAAGCCAUUUAUGGAGAUACCACGAGAUGCUUUUGGAUGGACGAUUGAGGAUUUUGUAUUAAAUAAAUUGAAAGAAUAGAGGCUACAAUUUCGUUUUCCCCAAAAUAUUUAAAAUUUGAUGCUCUAUAAAAUAUUUCUUUCUUUUUUUUUCUUUUUUUUUUUUCCAUUUUCCUUCCUUUUCAUUUUAUUUCAAUUUCUUUUGUAGGCCACUAAGACAAACAUAAUCAAAUAAUCUGAAUGCGAAUUCUGCUUGACCAAGUCACAGUUAAAAUUCAAAAUUGAGGAAGAAUGAAUGUGAAUGAAGCCCUCUUCGUUAGAAGAAGACUCAAGAUCUAACGUCUGCAAAUGCA
rnacentral:lncRNA from 1 species